rnacentral:pre_miRNA from 1 species
UAUUAAAAAAUUCAUCCAUUUGUACCGGUAAAAUUGGUGUGACUUACAGAAUAACUAGACAGUGACGUGUCACAUGUACCUUAUGUUGAUGUAAAUGGACCAAUUUUUAACUAGAAAUAGAUGAAAAUUUUUAACA